CAGCAUAUUUCCAAGGAUAUAGCUGGUUGUGGCUAUGGCAUCUCCAACUGCAUGCCAGAAUAAUUGAAGAGACUGUAACAGCAGAGGUCAACACAGUGCCCACAGCUACCACUUGCUUUUCCUAUAUGU